rnacentral:ncRNA from 1 species
UGCUUAAUCCAUAGGCGGGAAAAAGAGAACCAGGCAAAUUGAAGGAUCUUAGUAGCCAGAGGAAAAGAAAGAAAAAAUGAUUUUCGUAGUUGCGGUGGGCGAAAUGGGAGGUGUCUAAUAUGUGAAAAUGUGGUUGUGGGAUAGUAAUACAAGCACAGUGCAACUAGGAAAAGUAACCCAAAUGUUGCACCCUAGAUGGCAGAAUUCUACUAGCCGAAAGCAUAACUAGCUUAGGAUCUAGCCCGAGUAGUAUAGGGCAUGUGGAAUUGCGUAUGAAUCAGCAAGGACCACCUUGAAAGGCUAAAUACUCAUUGCUGAUCAAUAGAGAAGUAGUACCGUCGGGCUAAAGAACCUUGGGAUUUAAAUAGAACAUAAAAGCG